rnacentral:rRNA from 1 species
AUUGAACGCUGGCGGCAUGCCUUACACAUGCAAGUCGAACGGCAGCACGGGAGCAAUCCUGGUGGCGAGUGGCGAACGGGUGAGUAAAGUAUCGGAACGUGCCCAGUCGUGGGGGAUAACGUAGCGAAAGUUACGCUAAUACCGCAUACGAUCUAUGGAUGAAAGCGGGGGAUCGCAAGACCUCGCGCGAUUGGAGCGGCCGAUAUCAGAUUAGGUAGUUGGUGGGGUAAAGGCUCACCAAGCCGACGAUCUGUAGCGGGACUGAGAGGACGACCAGCCACACUGGGACUGAGACACGGCCCAGACUCCUACGGGAGGCAGCAGUGGGGAAUUUUGGACAAUGGGCGAAAGCCUGAUCCAGCCAUGCCGCGUGCAGGAUGAAGGCCUUCGGGUUGUAAACUGCUUUUGUACGGAACGAAAAGGUUUGGCCUAAUAAGCUGAGCUCAUGACGGUACCGUAAGAAUAAGCACCGGCUAACUACGUGCCAGCAGCCGCAGUAA